UCCCUUGCAUGAUAAUAAUAUUGAGAAACGCUUUGUAACUGCAGCAUACUAUAAUUUAUGCAGGUCUUUAAUAUUUCAGUAAAUUAUUCGUAUGAUUAAACAAGAUAACAACAAAAACCAAAAUAUACUGAUACUGCUGAUAGAUAGGCUAUUGUUAUAUAUGAGAAGGAAAGUAGGUUAUAGGCAUAGAAUUUGGGAGGCUAUAGGGCUAUACUUACCCCAAAUCUUCUUUAGUCUCCCUCAACAUCUCUUACAACUUCUCUGAAAAUGAGCAUGUAGUAAAAUGUUUUUUCGUUUCCCUUUUUUUUGGAAAAAAUAUACGAAACAAGUGUAGUUUUUAGCCCCUUUAGCUGCUCUGCAUUUUAAGCCUAUGGAAAAGGUAAAGUAGAUAGUUAUUUAAAAUAUUUAAGUAGAGAAUGAAUUGCCAAAUUCGGUCAAACAUGUUUUGAAAUGCC